AACAAGGAGAGAAAGGAACUCACCGUGGCAGAGAGCAAGAAGGCCUGAGUUCCAGAACGACGAUGCCGACGACCAGGGCGACCAGACGACACCGACGCCAGAAGCUUCAGAGUUCAGACGACUAGAUGACGACGCCGCUGACAGCAGCUUCGAUCCGCGACCGGGAGUUCCUUCUGCCCGUUAGAGUUCCUUCUGCCGGCGUCGAUUGUGGAGCUUGUUGCCGGGUUAGGGUUC